CGUUGCAUGUGUCAUAUGUUUGUAUUGUAAUAGCUAUAUGUGUAUACUGUGAUGAUUUUCUAUAUGAAUUUGUUCAGUAAGCAGGAGAUGAGGGUACUUGACAAGUAUUGUUCAUCAUACAUCUUUGUGAAUAUAUAAAUCUGAAUCAUAUAGACUUUUAUUAGAUGUGCAGCUGCAGUUCUGCAUUUCUGCAUUUGAGGCCUGUGACUCGUCUGCCGUAAGAGCAAGGAGCUGUUGCUUUGCAGUCAUAGCAAGCAAGUUACAGCAUUUCUCUGACAUCCAUUUUGCUGCCCAAUCAUCCAUGCUUGGUUCUUUCAGAUAGCCUUUUCUCUUGAGGUUAUGCCACAAAAAUCUGGUCAUGUCAA